rnacentral:lncRNA from 1 species
CCAUGCCUCUUGUGUCCUGCAGAACUAUGAGCCAAGUGCAUAAGAUCCCAGUUGCAACAGAUGACGCACUCAAGCUGAAGAUAAUUUAAUAAAAGGAUUACUUACAAAGCAGUUUGAAACAACAACAAAAAAGGGAUAGUAACUCUAGGAAGCUGGUAUCACCAGGAAACCUGAAUGGGCGAGAGAAGGGAGCAAAUCAGAAACCAAAGACAACAGCACGAA